UACGAAGGGGGCUAGCGUUGCUCGGAAUCACUGGGCGUAAAGGGCGCGUAGGCGGUGCGGUAAGUCCGCAGUGAAAUCUCUGGGCUCAACUCAGAGUCUGCUGUGGAAACUGCCGUGCUUGAGUGUGGGAGAGGUGAGUGGAAUUCCCGGUGUAGCGGUGAAAUGCGUAGAGAUCGGAAAGAACACCAACGGCGAAAGCACUCUGCUGGGCCGACACUGACACUGAGAGACGAAAGCUAGGGGAGCGAAUGGG
rnacentral:rRNA from 1 species